UAAUACUGAGGGUGCAAGCGUUAAUCGGAAUUACUGGGCGUAAAGCGCGCGUAGGCGGUCUGGUCAGUCAGAUGUGAAAGCCCCGGGCUUAACCUGGGAACUGCAUUUGAAACUGCCAGACUAGAGUGUGGUAGAGGGAAGUGGAAUUCCGCGUGGAGCGGUGAAAUGCGUAGAGAUGCGGAGGAACACCAGUGGCGAAGGCGACUUCCUGGACCAACACUGACGCUCAGGUGCGAAAGCGUGGGGAGCAAACAGGAUUAGAUACCCUGGUAGUCCACGCCGUAAACGAUGUCUACUAGCCGUUGGGGAGCUUGUCUCCUUAGUGGCGCAGCUAACGCGAUAAGUAGACCGCCUGGGGAGUACGGUCGCAAGACUA
rnacentral:rRNA from 1 species